AUUGAACGCUGGCGGCAUGCCUUACACAUGCAAGUCGAACGGCAGCACGGGGCAACCUGGUGGCGAGUGGCGAACGGGUGAGUAAUGCAUCGGAACGUACCUUUCAGUGGGGGAUAACGUAGCGAAAGUUACGCUAAUACCGCAUAUUCUGUGAGCAGGAAAGCAGGGGAUCGCAAGGCCUGGCACUGAUAGAUGAGCCCAAGCCGGAUUAGCUAGUUGGCGGGGUAACGGCCCACCAAGGCGACGAUCCGUAGCUGGUCUGAGAGGACGAUUGGCGACACUGGGACUGAGACACGGACCAGACGCCUACGGGAGGGAGCAGUGCGGAAUAUUGGACAAUGGGGGAAGCCCUGAUCCAGGGACGCCGCGUGGGUGAAGAAGGCCGUCGGGUUGUAAAGCUCUUUCGGCCGGGAAGAAAUCGCACGGGCUAAUACCCUGUGUGGAUGACGGUACCGGAAUAAGAAGCACCGGCUAACUACGUGCCAGCAGCCGCCGUAAUAC
rnacentral:rRNA from 1 species